AUUGCCUUUGGGCAAUUUGGUGAAAAUAAGUGUAGAAUAUGCAUGUAUUGGAUUAACAUGUGAUAAUCCUCUGCCCAAGGACAAUAUAUGAAGUGGAUUUUAGAAGCAGGGAGAUAGGACAGAAGCUUGCCUAACCUCUUCACAUAUCCCUCUGGUACUGUAGGACCUCCAGAAACAGUGCACCCUUC